rnacentral:tRNA from 1 species
AAAAUCCGUCGACUUUAUAAGUCGUGAGGGUUCAAAUCCCUCUAUCCCCA